AUUGAACGCUGGCGGCAUGCCUUACACAUGCAAGUCGAACGGCAGCACGGGAGCAAUCCUGGUGGCGAGUGGCGAACGGGUGAGUAAUGUAUCGGAACGUGCCCAGUCGUGGGGGAUGACGUAGCGAAAGCUACGCUAAUACCGCAUACGAUCUAUGGAUGAAAGCGGGGGAUCGCAAGACCUCGCGCGCUUGGAGCGGCCGAUAUCAGAUUAGGUAGUUGGUGGGGUAAAGGCUCACCAAGCCGACGAUCUGUAGCUAGUCUGAGAGGACGACCAGCCACACUGGGACUGAGACACGGCCCAGACUCCUACGGGAGGCAGCAGUGGGGAAUUUUGGACAAUGGGCGCAAGCCUGAUCCAGCAAUGCCGCGUGCAGGAUGAAGGCCUUCGGGUUGUAAACUGCUUUUGUACGGAACGAAACGGCGAGCUCUAAUACAGUUUGCUAAUGACGGUACCGUAAGAAUAAGCACCGGCUAACUACGUGCCAGCAGCCGCCGUAA
rnacentral:rRNA from 1 species